AUGGGGAUUGCCAAUUUUCUCCAUCGUUCUGUUUUUCUUUCUCCGGUGUGGCUCUUGGUUGAAUGUUCUCCAUUGAUGGAACCUUUGGGUGUGCCAUCUUCUGAAUGCUUGGACAAAUUUUCCACCCUGGCUUCUAGACGUGCAAAGCGUGUUUCGAAUUGUUGUCGUUCUACCUCUCGGUUUUGUCGGUCCGCCAUCAACAUUUCUAAAAUUCUCUCCAUUGUGUCUGGGUUUUCGGGAUUAGAUCGAGUUGUCACCAUUGUUGGAAGCAAAGCACCUGGACGGUGCUCUGAUACCAAUUGA